CCUGCUUUUUCUAAACAUUAAGAUGAUUCCUGUCUGGAUGAAAGUUCUCAACCGGCAGGCCAAGGCAAACUCUAAAGAAAAACAAGGUCAGGCUGCAUUUUUUUUGGUAAGCACAGGAAUCAACAAAGAGACGUUACAUAACUUCUAUUUAUAUCCUCCUUGCUCACUAUCUGCAGGCAGACAAGAGUUGCUGAGAAGGGAUUUAAUGAGCUCUCUGGGCUUGCUCACCUUCCUGCGCUGGUAGGAACCAGCUUGUUCUCAGAUGCGUCAGUCAAGAAUCCGGCCGGGGUGGGCGGCGGGGUAGGUGGACUGACUGGUUGCCAUGGCGUUUUUCAUUCCUCUGCCUGUGGA
rnacentral:sRNA from 1 species